rnacentral:rRNA from 1 species
CUAAGUUUGAUGGCGACCGGCGCACGGGUGAGUAACACGUAUCCAACCUGCCGAUGACUCGGGGAUAGCCUUUCGAAAGAAAGAUUAAUACCCGAUGGCAUAGUUCUUCCGCAUGGUAGAACUAUUAAAGGAUUUCGGUCAUCGAUGGGGAUGCGUUCCAUUAGGUUGUUGGCGGGGUAACGGCCACCAAGCCUUCGAUGGAUAGGGGUUCUGAGAGGAAGGUCCCCCACAUUGGAACUGAGACACGGUCCAAACUCCUACGGGAGGCAGCAUG